AAGAAAGUCAGACUGUUAACUGGAGCCUGCCAUAACCAAUUUGGGGGACCUGAUGUAUCCCUUCGGUGCCUGGAAAUAAGCUGAAGCUGUCAGUGAUAUCUCUGAAGAAUUGCUUGCUAGUUAAAAAAAAAAUUUUCAUGGCAUGGGAGUCAUGUCAGGGAAGUGGAAAUCCAACUGUGAUGGUAGUCACCUUUCCUCAAGAGAAUAAAUAUAUCAAAUUUUGACAGAUCAGAAAUGCAAUUCAUAAGGUCAAAGAAGAAUUCUCAUCCAUACAAUAAAGGAAAAGCUAUGGGUUAUUUUAUGCUUCUGUACAGUACAAGGAAAGUCAGUUCAUGAACCUCCACGUAGAUGUAUGUUACAUAAAUAUAGGAAGGAAGCCUCUUUUCCUGGGUCACUGCCAUUAUUGGCAGACUACAUGGCAGCUAGGGUUACUGCACUGCAUAUUAGAAGCACACACUGGAGCAGGAGGGCAGGAUAUUUAAUUAACAUAGUUCAGAAUUUAAAGACUUCACUCCACCAGUCAAUUAAUAUUUUGGAAAGAUGCACAACUCCAUUAUGGUCAUAAAAAUAAGAAGGAGCAGUGAGUGAAUUUGUGUGCAGUUGUCAAAUGAAAUUUUGCAGGCAGCUAAGAAAAAGUCACUACUUCAUACAAAGAUCUCACUUUCCAUCGUAAACAUUAUGCCUGGCUUGUGGAAGAUUUAAUAUUGUCGCAUUGAUGACUUACAUUUUUUCUUUUCGUGUGUUGUAUUUUCUGGAGGGUCGACUGGAUAAAACUCCACCACAAAAGUUUUUGAAGGUGAAUUUUACCUGGAACAUGGAGUUUUUCAAAGGCAAAAGAGAAUCCGGGGAUUGGGAGCUGCCUGUUUCACUACUGGCAACACAUCACUGGUAAUGUGUCAUGUUUGAAUUUGUGCAAAUUAGUUUGGAAGGUGGAACAACUUAUCUAAAUUUUAUGUAAGGUCUGACUUUUUGUAGUAAUGAAAGAUGACACUUAAGUAUACCUAUCCUUCAAGUUUAGUGUUGAUACAUACAUGAUACUGCAUUUGUAAUAUUUCUUUAAGCUGUCAUUAAAUUUAUAAAGCUAGCAGAAGAAACGAACAUAGAAAGUGCAACUGUCUAUUCAUGAAAUGAAAUAAAGAUAACUGACUUUUUACCAUGCUUAAAAAAUAAAAGUCCAGUUGUCAGAGAAAAUUUGUGGGGUAAAGAUAUAAUGCAGUAUGCAGGGAAUGAGACAAGAAUUCUCAUUAUUGUGUAUGGGAAUUGCAUGCUUAAUUCUCUGAGCACGAUGCUGAAAAUUUACCCUUAGGUUUGCAAUCUAAAUUUUACAUGCAUUCAUGAUUUAAGAGAUUUGUCCUUCAUUAUCAGGAAUUCUGACCUUGAAAUGUAAAUAUCAAAAAACCUCUAUAACAAUUUAUUUUUGUGAAGUAUGGUACCGACUAAAGAUUUGUUUAUAUCCAUCAGAGGGUUUCACAGUCAUUUCAGUGCUUUGGAAUGAAGGAUUUAAAAUACUUUUCAGCUUCUCCAUGGCAUUAUUCAUUUGUACUCUGUAAUAAUCUGAAGCAGUUUCUAAAAGAAAAUACAGAAUACUCUUAAUCAUGUCUUGUAAUUAUCUGCAACAUGCUGGCAUAUUGCAUUCCAGAAAUUAAGCAGAACAAAACAAACAAAAAAAACCUGCUCAUAACAUUGUUCAUGAGGGACAUGAAUUUGAAUUUCUGUUAAAAAAUAUUGAUAAAAUGCAGCUGUUACAAUGGCAUUUUUUAGGUUUGGUAGGGAAUCAAGACAUAUUGCUGCACCAAAACAAGCAAUAUAGAAGAGCACCUUAAUGGUGAGAAUACAUUGUAUUUGAAAACCAAUCCUAUAUGG